rnacentral:snRNA from 1 species
AUACUUACCUGGCAGGGGAGAUACCAUGAUCAGGAAGGUGGUUUUCCCAGGGCGAGGCUUCUCCAUUGCACUGCGGAGAGGCUGACCCCUGCGAUUUCCCCAAAUGUGGGAAACUCGACUGCAUAAUUUGUGGUAGUGGGGACUGCGUUCGCGCUCUCCCUG